UACAGAGGGUGCAAGCGUUAAUCGGAAUUACUGGGCGUAAAGCGCACGUAGGUGGCCAUACAAGUUAGAUGUGAAAGCCCUGGGCUUAACCUAGGAAAGUCAUCUAAGACUGUAAGGCUAGAGUACAGUAGAGGAAAGUAGAAUUUCCGGUGUAGCGGUGAAAUGCGUAGAUAUCGGAAGGAAUACCAGUGGCGAAGGCGACUUUCUGGACUGAAACUGACACUGAGGUGCGAAAGCGUGGGGAGCAAACAGG
rnacentral:rRNA from 1 species